rnacentral:lncRNA from 1 species
UAGGAGAGAGCAGAUAGAGAUAAAAAAAAAUCUGAGAGAUCAGAACCCAAGGGAAAAGAACAAAUAGAGAUCAGAGAGAAAAAACCAAUGAGAGUUACACGAGAGAAGAGAAAACCCUAGAACUUGCUUCAGGAACCCGAGCCUCCUGAGAGAAAACCUAAGUCUGAGAAAACCUAGACCUAGGGCACAACCACCCUAGAUCUACCUUUAGGGCACAACCACCUUUCUUCAACCAGAGACUUUCGGGUGAACAUCCGACUCAGAGAGACAAAAUAGGACCAAUUCUGAUACGGGCGAGCUCCAGAAGGCUUGGGAGUCCCGGGCCAUUUGGCCCAUUUCGGUAUCAUUUCUUUCUUUCUUUUUUAUUCUUCUUUUAUUGUUUUAAUUUCAUUUUGAUUUGCUUAUUUACUUUAAAAUCGUAUUUUCGUGUUUUGGAUCAUGCUGGCUCUACCACAAAUCUGAGAGUAGAUCUGUUCGUUUUCGAGCAGAUCUAGCCUCAAAUCUGAAUUCGAUUUGUCCCACUUUCUUUACUACUCUUUUAAAGCAUUUUUAUUUAGUUUAAGGUAUCAAAAUCCAAGAGAUCUUGAUUGGAAGAUCUGUCAGAUUUUCAUCCUGUCCCUGCUCCGGGUUCUAUUUCAAAUCUCCCCCUAUCUUCAAAAUUUCUAAACCGUCUUUCAAAACAAAGGAGCUUGGACACCCAUACUCCUUCCUCUGACUGCAAGGAAUUACUCAGUAUUCCUUUCUAAUAAGUGUAUACUAAGAAGAAAUAAAAAACAAAAAAAAAAAACCUAAGUCAUCUUUUUUAGAUAAGUACGUGUUGGUUAUGUGAGUAUAUCCUCCCUAACGGAUUUUGACUUUAUAAACCCUCUUUUCGUGGUCAUUUAGAGAAGGGAGAGAAAAUGAUUAGAGAGAAACGGAAAAAACAAUUUGGGAUAGAGAGAGACCAAAUAGAGAGCAAAUAGAGAUAAAAACAAAUAUGAAGAGACCAUAACCCUAGGGAAGAAACCAGAUAGAGAUAAAAACAAAUAUGAGCGACCAUAACCCUAGGGAAGAGAACAGGUAGAGAUCAGAUAGAAAAAACCAGAAAGAGUUACACAAGAGAAGAGAAAACCCUAGAAACUGCUUCAGGAACCGAGCCUCCUGAGAGAAAACCUAAGUCUAAGAAAACCUAGACGUACCGGACCUCCUGAAAGAAAACCUAAGUCUGAGAAAACCUAGACCUAAGGCCCAGCCACCCUAGAUCUACCCUUAGGGCACAACCACCCUUCUUCAACCAGAGACUUUCUGGUGAACAUCAGACUCAGAGAGACAAAAGAGGAUCGGUUCUGAUACGGGCGAGCCCUAGAAGGCUCGGGAGUCUCGGGCCAUUUGGCCCGAUUCGGUAUCAUUUCUUUCUUUCUUUUUUAUUGUUUUAAUUCCAUUUUGAUAUGUUUAUUUGCUUUGAAUCGUAUUUUCGUGUCUUAGAUCAUGCGGGCUCUGCCACAGAUCUGAGAGUAGAUAUGUUCGUUUCUGGACAGAUCUAGCCUCAGAUCUGAAUUCGAUUUGUCCCACUUUCUUUACCAUUCUUUUAAUUCAUUUUUAUUUAGUUUAAGGUGCCAAAAUCCGAGAGAUUUUCAUCGGAAGAUCUGUCAGUUUUUCAUCGUAAACAGUUUAGCGCCCACCGUGGGGCAUUUCGAUCCAGAUCCGUUCACAAAAAAUAAAAAUAAAAACUAAAAUAAAAAACAGCCCCCUAUCUCCUUUCGCGGGCCAUUUAAAAAAAAAAUCCAAAAAAAAGAAAAAAAGAAAAAAAAAAGAAUCUUUUCCAUAGGAAAACCUUGCUUCAGUUCUUUCCUAUAAUUUAGUAUUUGUUUUCUUUAUUUAUCUGCUCAUAAGUAAAAAAAUAAAAUAAAAUAAAUCGUUCGAAUAUCUCUUUAUUACCAUUUGCGCACCGUUAUUCCUUGGGUUUAUCUUCUGCAUAAAGGUUUGAGUCUCAUUAUUCUAAGGGAAUUGGAUAAAGGUUGGGUCUCACGUCUUCUUUAAAGUAACCAGAAGAAAUAAUAGUAAGAGACAACAAAAGCCAGUUUUCCUGCUGCCAUCAGAUCCUGCGCCACUGGAAACUUGCCUUGCGCGUCCGCGCAACCGAGUAUGGCAGUUACAAUUUCUCUCUCGGAUCACGAAAGUUUUGGCUUUUAUUUGUUAUGUUUUAUUAUUUUUUUACUACCUUGGUAGUUUUCUGGACUGUUUUUGGUCUCUGCAAAAAAAAAAUUGUUGUAAGGCCUCUUCGGCUUCAAAAAAAAAAACAAAGGUUUUAAAAUUGUUUCGUUCUUUUAUUAUUAUUAUUAUUUAAAAAAAAAAAACUUCUAUGGCCUUUUGUUUCCAAAAAAAAAAAAAGAAAAGAAAAAAAAAAAUAUCGUUGUUGCAAAAUUUUAGUUUUUGUAAGGCCAUUCUAUCUCCAAAAAUAAAAAAAUAAAAAAUAAAAAAUAAAAACUUUUGCUAAAAGAAAAAAUUUCUUUGUUUCGAAAAAAAAAGAAGAAAAAAGUCAUCUUUAUUUCAUUUUUUUUAUUUUCUUUUACGGCCAUUCUAUCUCCCAAAAAAAAAAAAGUGUGUUUAAGGCCAUCUUUUUUUUAUAUAUAACAAAGAAAAGCCAAAAAGAAAAAGAAAAUUGCAUACUUAGCCAUUUAAAAAUAUGUCAGCACUUUUGUUUGGAAUCUUUGUGCCAAAAAAAAAAGAAAAUGUUAAAAAUUGCUUCUUCUUUUUAAGCCACUUUGUUUUUUUUUUUUUGUUUUUUUUGUUUUUUUUUAAAAAUAGUAGAUUAAGUUGUCAAAUUGCUUAUCUAUUGCUUUAUCCUUAUCUGUGAAUAGAUUAGUUGUUAAAUUCUUUAUGUCUUAUUUUCAUAGAUAGAUUAGAUUUUUAAUUCCUUACUUUUUGCUUUUGUCCCUAUCUUGCACAUGCUUUCUGGAUUAUCUGUUUAGAAAUAAUUCUCAAAAUAAUAAUAAUAAAAAAAAAAAGAAAUCACUUUCUCCCCCCUUCAAAAAAAAUAAAAUAAAAAAAUUUCAACACUUUUUUUUUUGGCCUCUUUGUUUUCAAAAAAAAAAAAAUCGCCUUCCCUCUUUUUCAAAAAAAAUAAUAAAGUAAAAAGUCCUAAAAAUCAUUUUUCUAAAAAAAAUAAAAUUUCUUUUAAGGCCAUCUUACUUUAAAGAAAAAAAACAAAAAAAAAAUUAAAACUUUUAAGGCCUUUUUCAUUUUCAAAAGAAAAAUUUUCAUUGCAAAAAAAAAAAAAAGGAUUAUCUUAUUUCAAAAAAACAUAAAAAUCGCUUUUGCUACAAAAAUUGCUUUUUUUUUAAGCCACUCCAUUUUCUAAAAGAAUAAAAUAAAAAGAGAGUAUUCACUUAAAAAAAAAAAAACCUCUCAAGCCUCUCUCUUGUUUUAAAAAAAAAAAUAUAUAUCUUUCAUUUCUAUGCUUGUGAUUCAACAUUUGCCGCUUCUCUCUAUUCAUCAAAAAACAAAUCCAGGAUUACCUACACUCUAUCUCAAAUUGUGCGAUGUUCAAGUAACCCUCGGCUCGAGGACUAGGCACAGGUUGGGCCUGGUUUGACUUUCAUUUACUGUAUACCGUCUUAGGAGUUGCUUACCCCCACAUUUGAACUGUGCUUUUGGUCAGUCAAAAACCCGACCCGAAGCACACCUCACUUGGCACGAUUUGCGCCAAGUGCUCAUAUUUUUCUUACAUUGUGUGCUUGCUACUUUAGUUUUGCUUGCGUGCUUCUUUACACACUCUUGCACAUACCGGACCGGNNNNNNNNNNNNNNNNNNNNNNNNNNNNNNNNNNNNNNNNNNNNNNNNNNNNNNNNNNNNNNNNNNNNNNNNNNNNNNNNNNNNNNNNNNNNNNNNNNNNNNNNNNNNNNNNNNNNNNNNNNNNNNNNNNNNNNNNNNNNNNNNNNNNNNNNNNNNNNNNNNNNNNNNNNNNNNNNNNNNNNNNNNNNNNNNNNNNNNNNNNNNNNNNNNNNNNNNNNNNNNNNNNNNNNNNNNNNNNNNNNNNNNNNNNNNNNNNNNNNNNNNNNNNNNNNNNNNNNNNNNNNNNNNNNNNNNNNNNNNNNNNNNNNNNNNNNNNNNNNNNNNNNNNNNNNNNNNNNNNNNNNNNNNNNNNNNNNNNNNNNNNNNNNNNNNNNNNNNNNNNNNNNNNNNNNNNNNNNNNNNNNNNNNNNNNNNNNNNNNNNNNNNNNNNNNNNNNNNNNNNNNNNNNNNNNNNNNNNNNNNNNNNNNNNNNNNNNNNNNNNNNNNNNNNNNNNNNNNNNNNNNNNNNNNNNNNNNNNNNNNNNNNNNNNNNNNNNNNNNNNNNNNNNNNNNNNNNNNNNNNNNNNNNNNNNNNNNNNNNNNNNNNNNNNNNNNNNNNNNNNNNNNNNNNNNNNNNNNNNNNNNNNNNNNNNNNNNUCUCUUGGUAUGAGCUGAGACUCGUUCCCAUCUAUCCUAGAUAUCAGUUUAGGUUCUAGUAUAGGUCUAAGCUAAGAGUUGCCUCUAGAGCUAGACUAGGCUUACCCUAGUUUAGGGUUCAAACAAAAACCCAACAAGUUUAGCAGGUUUCAUCCAGUGGAGUCCUAGCCUAAAUCUUAGUUAAGGUUUUGCCCCUGAAGUCAGACUAGGUCUACCAUGAGGCGUCGAGUCUAGAUCUAACAGAGUCUAGGAAUCAUGACCCAAGAUCAUAGCAAAGCAAGGUCCACCCCAUGGCCCCAGCUCAGUCUAGAUCUAGAGAACCUAGUCAGUCUUAGAGGCACCGUCACAAUGCUUCCUCACACAUCAUUCAUAGCAACCGUGUCAGUGACCUGACUCUCGACCCACAUGGAACCGAACCUAGCCGUCGAAUCCACCUUCAAGGCCACCAUUUAGAAGUCAUGAGCCAACUUGAUGAUAAAGUUUGCAACACCUUGAAUAGUUAAGGGGUCAGGCCGGGGGCAAUCCUCCAAGAUAUAGGGGUUAACCUCAAUUCCAGAUGAAACAACAAGAAUAAGGCUUCGGCCCAAAUCUUUGAGUCAGCAGAUCUCAGCCGUAUAAACCCCGAUGGUCAUAUAGCAGCCCAAUAUUCUAGUCUUGGCCAUCAGCCAGUUAGUGGGUGAGUGGGUUCACAUACAACUAGGGAAAGUCUACACGAGCAACCCAUCACCAGUAAAUAUCAAGGUUUUGACCUAACUCGAUAUUAAGAUAAUCCUAAGGUAUAUGGUUACUUUCAAGACCUGCUCAAUAGAGGAUACACCUUAUAACGCACUCAAUCUAGGAAAGUCAGGUCAGAAGCUCAUGCCAUAAGCCAAGCCCAACAUUUUGGCUCAAACCAGGAUAAUCCUAGGGCUGUUAGCCUGCCAAUCCAACCCGCUACUGGCCAGGGGUCUAGUUCUAAUCAUCACUUGAGCCCAAGACUAUCUAGAGGGCAGACUCCCUCUGGCAGUAGUUAUAGCAUUCAUUCACUCUUUCAGUUCAGUGUUGGGGCAAGAGAGUACCCUAACCUUAGGGAUAGAUCAUCCAAUCAAGGUCAAGGUCAGGUAAGCCUAGCUGCCCAAGGUCAGAGGUCUAGUCGUCUUAGCAACAUGAAUGGUCCAUCCUAGUUAAGUGGUGAUUCUAUCCUGCAGGCUUCCUUGCAUGGCCAAGUUGUGCAACCUCCGAGUAAUGGGUAUACUCUAAUCCAAUUCAACUCGGGUGAGUCUACAAGUCGACAACCGGCACAUCAAGUUCAACACAUUCCUCAGGCUCAGUCCUUGGGCAACCCGCUACGUGGGCCCAACAGUCGGUUCGUACGAGACACAUACCACAAAAUCAGGUUCAAUAGACCAUACAACUGAGCCAGCUCACAACUACAACGACGGCUCAAUUCGCUCGUAUGAAACACCUCCAAGACUCUUUAGAGAAAAUGAUAAUAUGAGAUUUCUCAACUCCUAAAGCUUAUGUACAAGAAAUUCUAGGAAACUUAGAAGAUCUACCAGUGGGGUUUGUGAUGCCACAGUUCAGAAACAGAUUUUUAGGGAAACCUGAUGCACACAUCAACGCCUACUUAUUGAUGGUCCACACACUGCGAGACCGACCUAACCAAUUUAAGGUCGUGUUCUCACAUAACUUAUCAGAAGAACCCUUGAUGUGGCACUGAAGAUUCAUGAAGGAUAAUUCUCAAGCAACUCUUGACGAAAUGUUCAGGCAAUUUUCCUCCCGCUAUCGUAGAAGAAGGCCAAGACCUGUCACAUUUGGUGAAUUAACUUCCACCAAACAGAAGUCGAGCGAAUCUCCUUUCCUGUUUAUAACCAGAUUAAGAGAGGUCGCUAUACGAAUAAUUGAAACUCCACUCCCUGAAGCCGUGAAGGUAAGCAUAGCAUUAGAGGCCAUCACUCCAAAAUAUGUCACGUUCUUUAGUGUGGGGGCAGUCCCUUACUCAUUUAAUGAUAUGCUUGAAAGAGUAUCACGAUAUGAAUGAGCCAAGGAAGAUAAAGCCGCAGCCAAAAAACCCUCUCAAGAAGGGGAGGUGAACAUGAGAAAAACAAUCCUUCUGCAAACCAUUCACAGGGAAAUACUAAAAUUAAUUCUACCACAUGGAGAAUGCAGACUUACACCCCAAGGGAACUCACUCCCAUUGAUGUGUCUAUGACCGAUGUCAUGAAGAAGUUGCUUAAGGCAAGGCUCAUAGAAUUACCGACAGGAGCCAAGAUUCCUCCUUUCCAUGGAGGCGAUACAUCUCAAUGGUGCGAUUUGGCAUUAAAUCUAUGCCCAUAGCACGGAAGAAUGUCGAGCUUUUAGACAUAGAGUUCAUGACCUCAUUGAUAAUGGCACGAUAAGUGUUAGAAAGAAAGAGGCUGAUGACAUAGAAAAAUCAAAAACUCUAGAUGCUUCGACAAACAAAUUUGAUAUUAACCUGAUUAACUCAGGAGAAUCACAAGUUGUGCCCAAACCCAAAGAACAUCUACAAAGGACUUGGAGCACAAGAAGAAAUCAACUGGAAAGUCCAGUAGAUGAAGAACAAAACGAGCAUAACCUUACCCAAGAGUUAAUGACUAAGGAUAGUCAAGAUCAAAACAGAGAGGAUGACCUUAGCUCCAAGCCCAUAACUGAAAAAAGGGGAGAAUAAAGAGGUAUCACAUAUGGAAUUCUAUUCCAAGAUACACUCCAAAAGAUGGCACAAGACAUCCCCAUCAUCAAGAGUCACACUAGGGCAUAUGAACCCCUCAACCCAUACUUUCAAGUUAAUACAAUAAAUAAUUUAUACGUGUGUGGCAACAAAUCAAUCUCGCAAGAUCAAUAUGAACUCGGGCAUAAGCUCAACCAAGGUUUUGAAGCUAUGGAUUUCCAAGCCCAUGAUGACAAGAAAAACCUUAAUUCUGAGACAAUAACUCGUGAGGGGGCCAAUGAUCAAGUGCUAAAAGUAAGCCCUACACCUCAAAACCUUGACGACCCACCUAAGUGGGAUCAAUAUGAUGUGAUCCAGAUCAACAAGAAGGGAUCAUUUUCUAAACAACGGGUCAACACCCCAAAGUCUCCCAUUACGCUUCCAAACAAGGGGCCAAAACCUCAAAUAUCAAAAGAAGAUGAACCUUUAGAAAUUCUAAGGGGCCCACCUAAGCCACCUUCACCAGACUUCUUGGUCAUGGGAUGAGGAGCCAAGCUCAGAAGAUUUAACCGAGUCACCUCUCGAGGUGAACCCAGUUAUAGAUGAUGGAAAAGCAAAGAGCCCAAAUUUGACUAUUCCCAAAGAUUUGACAUCUUCGCUAAAGUUAAUAGAACUCGAACCUUUGGAAACUUUAAGGGGUCCACUUGGGCCACUUUCACAAGAUUUCUUGAAUGAUCAACCAAUCUAGGAUCAAGAAUUGGAUAUUGAAAAUCAGACCAUGUUACCUACUCAAGAGGCAGACUCUCUAAAAGUCAUUAACGACAUGAGCACAACUCUGAUAACUGGAGCACCACCAUAUAAAGAGAAUUCAUCCUGUGAAGAACAGGUUCCCAACGAAACUGUCACACCCCAAGAAUUUACAAUACUAUUAUUCCUGAGAUGUGACGGACAAAACAUAUAUACAUCUAUUGAUAGGACAAAUUUACAGUGGCGAGGUCUUACAUAGUAAAUAAAGAAAGCUAGUACAACAACAGUAUCUUCCAAGGUUGAUCUUGACUAUCACUCAAAAUGAAUCCGCAGUUAUUCUGNNNNNNNNNNNNNNNNNNNNACUCUUGGUAUGAGCUGAGACUCGUUCCUUUCUAUCCUAGAUCUCAGUCUAGGUUCUAGUAUAGGUCUAAGCUUAGAGUUGCCUCUAGAGCUAGACUAGGCUUACCCUAGUUUAGGGUUCAAACAAAAACCCAACAAGUCUAGCAGGUUUCAUCCAGUGGAGUCCUAGCCUAAAUCUUAGUUAGGGUUUUGCCCUUGAAGUCAGACUAGGUCUACCAUGAGGAGUCGAGUCUAGAUCUAACAGAGUCUAGGAAUCAUGACCCAAGAUCAUAGCAAAGCAAGGUCCACCCCAUGGCCCCAGCUCAGUCUAGAUCCAGAGAACCUAGUCAGUCUUAGAGGCACCGUCACAAUGCUUCCUCACACAUCAUUCAUAGCAAGCGUGUCAGUGACCUGACUCUCGACCCAUAUGGAACCGAACCUAGCCGUCGAAUCCGCCUUCAAGGCCACCAUUUAGAAGUCAUGAGCCAACAAGUUGAUAAAGUUUGCAACACCUUGAAUAGUUAAGGGGUCAGGCCGGGGGCAAUCCUCCAAGAUAUAGGGGUUGACCUCAAAUCCAGAUGAAACAACAAGAAUAAGGCCUCGGCCCAAAUCUUUGAGUCAGCCGAUCUCAGCUGUAUAAACCCCGAUGGUCAUAUAGCAGCCCAAUAUUCUAGUCUUGGCCAUCAGCCAGUUAGUGGGUGAGUGGGUUCACAUACAACUAGGGAAAGUCUACGCGAGGAACCCAUCACCAGUAAAUAUCAAGGUUUUGACCUAACUCGAUAUUCAGACAAUCCUAAGGUGUAUGGUUACUUUCAAGACCUGCUCAAUAGAGGAUACACCUUAUUGCGCACUCAAUCUAGGAAAGUCAGGUCAGAAGCUCAUGCCAUAGGCCAAGCCCAACAUUUUGGCUCAAACCAGGAUAAUCUUAGGGCUGUUAGCCUGCCAAUCCAACCCGCUACUGGCCAGGGGUCUAGUUCUAAUCAUCACUUGAGCCUAAGACUAUCUAGAGGGUAGACUCCCUCUAGCAGUAGUUAUAGCAUUCAUUCACUCUUUUAGUUUAGUGUUGGGGCAAGAGAGUACCCUAACCUUAGGGAUAGAUCAUCCAAUCAAGGUCAGGGUCAGGUAAGCCUAGUUGCCCAAGGUCAGAGGUCUAGUCGUCAUAGCAACAUGAAUGGUCCAUCCCAGUUAAGUGGUGAUUCUAUCCUGCAGGCUUCCUUGCAUGGCCAAGUUGUGCAACCUCCGAGUAAUGGGUAUACUCUAAUCCAAUUCAACUCGGGUGAGUCUACAAGUCGACAACCGGCACAUCAAGUUCAACACAUUCCUCAAGCUCAGUCCUUGGGCAACCCGCUACGUGGGCCUAACAGUCGGUUCGUACGAGACACAUACCGCAAAAUUAGGUUCAAUAGACCAUACAACUGAGCCAGCUCACAACUACAACGACGGCUCAAUUCGCUCGUAUGAAACACCUCCAAGACUCUUUAGAGAAAAUGAUAAUAUGAGAUUUCUCAACUAUUAAAGCUUAUGUACAAGAAAUUCUAGGAAACUUAGAAUAUCUACCAGUGGGGUUUGUGAUGCCACAGUUCAGAAAUAGAUUUUUAGGGAAACCUGAUGCACACAUCAACGCUUACUUAUUGAUGGUCCACACACUGCGAGACCGACCCAACCAACUUAAGGUCGUGUUCUCACAUAGCUUAUCAGAAGAACCCUUGAUGUGGCACUGAAGAUUCAUGAAGGAUAACUCUCAAGCAACUCCUGACGAAAUGUUCAGGCAAUUUUCCUCCCGUUAUAGUGGAAGAAGGCCAAGACUUGUCACAUUUGGUGAAUUAACUUCCACCAAACAGAAGUCGAGCGAAUCUCCUUUCCUGUUUAUAACCAGAUUCAGAGAGGUCACUAUACGAGUAAUUGAAACUCCACUCCCUGAAGCCGUGAAGGUAAGCAUAGCAUUAGAGGCCAUCACUCCAGAAUAUGUCACGUUCUUUAGUGUGGGGGCAGUCCCUUACUCAUUUAAUGAUAUGCUUGAAAGAGUAUCACGAUAUGAAUGAGCCAAGGAAGAUAAAGCCGCAGCCAAAAAACCCUCUCAAGAAGGGGAGGUGAACAUGAUCAAGAAAAACAACCCUUCUGCAAACCAUUCACAGGGAAAUACUAAAAUUAAUUCUACCACAUGGAGAAUGCAGACUUACACCCCAAGGGAACUCACUCCCAUUGAUGUGUCUAUGACCGAUGUCAUGAAGAAGUUGCUUAAGGCAAGGCUCAUAGAAUUACCGACAGGAGCCAAGAUUCCUCCUUUCCAUGGAGGCGAUACAUCUCAAUGGUGCGAUUUGGCAUUAAAGCUAUGCCCAUAGCAUGGAAAAAUGUCGACCUUUUAGACAUAGAGUUCAUGACCUCAUUGAUAAUGGCACGAUAAGUGUUAGAAAGAAAGAGGCUGAUGACAUAGAAAAAUCAGAAACUCUAGAUGCUUCGACAAACAAAUUUGAUAUUAACCUGAUUAACUCAGGAGAAUAACAAGUUGUGCCCAAACCCAAAGAACAUCUACAAAGGACUUGGAGCACAAGAAGAAAUCAACUGGAAAGUCCAGUAGAUGAAGAAAAAAACGAGCAUAACCUUACCCAAGAGUUAAUGACUAAGGAUACUCAAGAUCAAAACAGUGAGGAUGACCUUAGCUCCAAGCCCAUAACUGAAAAAAGGGGAGAAUAAAGAGGUAUCGCAUAUGGGAUUCUAUUCCAAGAUACACUCCAAAAAAUGGCACAAGACAUCCCCAUCAUCAAGAGUCACACUAGGGCAUAUGAACCCUUCAACCCAUACUUUCAAGUUAAUACAAUAAAUAAUUUAUACGUGUGUGGCAACAAAUCAAACUCGCAAGAUCAAUAUGAACUCGGGCAUAAGCUCAACCAAGGUUUUGAAGCUAUGGAUUCCCAAGCCCAUGAUGACAAGAAAAACCUUAAUUCUGAGACAAUAACUCGUGAGGGGCCAAUGAUCAAGUGUUAAAAGUAAGCCCUACACCUCAAAACCUUGACGACCCACCUAAGUGGGAUCAAUAUGAUGAGGACGACGUUUCAGAAAUUGAUGCGAUCCAGAUCAACAAGAAGGGAUCAUCUUCUAAACAACGGGUCAACACCCCAAAGUCUCCCAUUACGCUUCCAAACAAGGGGCCAAAACCUCAAAUAUCAAAAGAAGAUGAACCUUUAGAAAUUCUAAGGGGCCCACCUAAGCUACCUUCACCAGACUUCUUGGUCAUGGGAUGAGGAGCCAAGCUCAGAAGAUUUAACCGAGUCACCUCUCGAGGUGAACCCAGUUAUAGAUGAUGGAAAAGCAAAGAGCCCAAAUUUGACUAUUCCCAAAGAUUUGACAUCUUCGCUAAAGUUAAUAGAACUCGAACCUUUGGAAACUUUAAGGGGUACACUUGGGCCACUUUCACAAGAUUUCUUGAAUGAUCAACCAAUCUAGGAUCAAGAAUUGGAUAUUGAAAAUCAGACCAUGUUACCUACUCAAGAGGCAGACUCUCUAAAAGUCAUUAACGACAUGAGCACAACUCUGAUAACUGGAGCACCACCAUGUAAAGAGAAUUCAUCCUGUGAAGAACAAGUUCCCAACGAAACUGAAAGCCUUGAAGGGGUAACUCCAUCAAAAUAUUCGAUAGGGGCAAACUCCUCUCAUGAAAAGGAUACAAUAGGGACAACUAAUGAGAUUGAACCCUUGUUUGUUGAUUCCCAACAAAUCAUAAGACCGUUUAAUACAACGGGGGCAACUAAUGAGAUUGAAUCCUUCUUUGUUGACUCCCAACAGGUUGUAAGGCCAACUAGUACCAACUCAGCCACUCCUCUUGUGCGAGAGUCUCACCUAAGCUCGAGCUCUAAGAAGGAGUCUACUACGGAGUUAACCCCCGACAAACAAUUCGAAAUUUGCAAUGAAAAAGGCUACCGAAAAGAAGUUGGGGGAUCACUCACCCCUUGCAAAUAACUAAAUGAGUCAUUCAUGUAUCACCCUUCAAAAGGCAUUAACGUCAAAUGUGUAACAUGAAGUACUCCAUUAACGGGAAAACCCUGAUGAGCCUAUUUGUCCAUACAAAAGGCUAAGGGAUUUGAAAACUGUGCGUGAUAUUUAGUCCCAAAAUCAAGGUUAAAGUGGAGCAGUUUAAAGGAAAAGUUCAACGGAAAUUUAACAACCAUUGUCAAAGAGAUUUUGGAUGCCAACCUGGGUCAAGGGAAAUCAGAGGAAGACCGAUAUUAGAACCUCCCUACCACUUGGAGGAGGAAAAGAUGUUCGAAUUCUUACAUGAUCUUAAGGCAAAAUGCUAAAAAAAAAAAGAGGGUCACCUUUGAAUCUUCUUCCUCCUCCUCCUCUUCCUUUGUCACUGUUUUCUUCUUAAAAAAAAAAAAUUUCCGCUGGGCUGAAAAUUCGAAAGAAACCCUAUGCAUUGGAAAAAAGGCAACCGGGUUGAACACCCCACAAGGGACCCCGGAGUGAAAAAAAAAAAAAAAUCAGCUGGGUUGAAAAUCCGAAAGGAACCCCAAGCGUUGGAAAAAAGAUCAACGAGCUAAACACUCGAAAGGGACCCCGGGACGAUGAAAAAGAAGAAGUUCUCUCCUUCCUUCUACUUACCAAAGUAUUUUCUCUCUAAACAUCUUAUUUUCCUCCCCUGAGUCAAAGUGGUGUUAAAAGAAAAAUUAAUAAGUAUUAGCCUGACGGAAUGUUGUUAAGGACCUAGAUUGUCUGAAACUUUAAAAGGUGAGUGGUGGAGGAACAAAAUUGGAAAUCUAAAGAGAUUCUGAACACCCAAUGACAAUAUCCUGUAUUUUCGAAACUUUGUUUCGCUCGAAACUCCAAGAACUCUCAUUCAAUUGCAAUACAAGAGCUGAGGUUGGAAGAUAAAUAAAUACUUGAUGAUUCCUCGUCCCGAAGAUCCAAGCAAAGACCCGAUACACUCACAUAAGGUCAACCAAAGGGGUCACAAGUGGUUAAACUAUAAGACCUACAUUAAAAGAAAACCACCCCCCAACUGGGGCAACAAGAAAAAAUAAAUAAAUAAAUAAAUAAAUAAAUAAUAAUAAUAAUAAAUAAUAAUAAUAAUAAUAAUAAUAAUAAUAAUAAUAACUCCACGAUUGUAUGAGUAUAACUGCUGACUACACCGUCCAUCGCUGCAUGACGUUAAACUGCUUAGAGGGCUCUAUGGUUGCAGGAGUUUAAACUGCUAACCAACUUUGUUUUUCGAAAUAUCUUCCCCUUUUCAAAAUUUUCACUAUAUGUAAUGUGUUUUCAAAAACUUUAAUUUCUUUAUUAAAAUUGUAACAUGUCCCUGCUCCGGGUUCUAUUUUAAAUCUGCCCCUAUCUUCAAAAUUUCUAAAAUGUCUUUUAAAACGAAGGAGCUUGGAUACCCGUACAUGAUGAAUACCGUGUUUGCCGUGUUGCUGCCUCGUCUCUCACUUUGGAUUCGGCCAAACAAGUCUCUUCCUAUAGAAGGCCUUAGGAAACCCUAAGGAGAUCAAAGAAGAUGCUAGGGUUAAAAAUUUUCGAACUGCAAAACCCCGGAAGUUAAGUGGCAUGAUAAAAAAAUCUAACUCGAGUUUCAAGCUUGUGUAACUCAAUGACAUGUCACGUCGAAAACACUAGGAGGAAAAAUUCCCUAAGUGGGUGAGCUCGAUGAGAGCAAUGACUUGGAGGGAUAGUUGGUGGGCCCUCUGACCACGUGACCUCAAGAAUAAAUCUUUGACAUUCACCUGCCCCUCGAAGGGGAUGGAACGCCAGAGUGUCUACUUCUUUGGCACUCACCUGCCACUCGAAGGACAAGGAGUGCCAAAGAGGGGCAACUGUAGACACCCCAUUUUAAAUCUGGCAAAUUUCGUGGUUUCCUGAACCAUUAGGAUCACACUUAACCUAGUAAACCCAUUUUUUUGGAUAAGUACGUGUUGGUUAUGUGAGUAUAUCCUCCCCAGGGGAUUUUGACCUCUAUAAACCCUCUUUUCGUGGUCAUUUGGAGAAGGGAGAGAAAAGGAUUAGAGUGAAAUGGAAAAUAUGAUUUGGAAGAGAGAGAGAGACCAAACCCUAGGAGAGAGCAGAUAGAGAUAAAAAAAAUUUGAGAGACCAAAACCUUAGGGAGGAGAAUAGAUAGAGAUCAGAUAGAAAAAACCAAAUAGAGUUACACGAGAGAAGAUAAAACCCUAGAAACUUCUUAAGAAACCCGAGCCUCCUGAGAGAAAACCUAAGUCUGAGAAAACCUAAACUUUUGGGCACAACCACCCUUCUUCAACCAGAGACUUUCUGGUAAACAUUUGAUCCAGAGAGACAAAAGAUGACCGGUUCUAAUACGGGCGAGCCCCAAAAGGCUCGGGAGUCUCGGGUUGGCGGCCAUCUAAGGGGACCUUGGAUUGGACAGUGGCAAAUUUCUGAGAAGAACGUUUGUAUAGCUCCGGGAAAGCAUCUUUGAGGGGAUAUUGAUGGUGUCAUUUGUUAUGCCAUAAUUUAAUAGUGGAGCCACUCCCAACCACCAUUUUGGAAAAGCCAGAAAAAUGUUUCUCACUAAAAGGAUGCCCUUCCAUACCCACGAAGCACUUGCUCUAGCAGGAGGGCAACGAGCAAUGUAACCUUGCAGGUCUCUAUACUUGUCAAGAAUGAUGUAUUCCCAAAGAAGCCCUUGCUGUCUUGACAAGCAACACCACCAUUUAGUGAGCAAGGCGUCGUUGAUUGCUUCUAGUCGUCUGAUGCCCAACCUAUCUUCUUUUUUUUAUAGGCAGACAUAAGACCAUUUAUGGAGAUGAAUUUUUUUUUGGUGUUAACUCUCGCUCCAAAGGAAGUUCCACAUCUAGGAUUGAAGCUUCUUAAUGACCCGAGGAGGAGCUUGAAACAGUGAUAAGUAGUAAAUUGGUAGAUUUGAAAGGGUUGCUUUGAUUAGGGUGAUCCUAUCGGCCAAAGAGAGAUAUCUUGAGAUAUGUUGAUUUCCACUCAUGAAAUUUGUGCUGGAAUCUACUGAUCAAGGGGUCCCACUAAGCUCUCGGCAUGAAAGAUAAGGAAAGAGAGAUACCAAGAUACUUGCUAGGGAAUUAGUCAAUCUGGCAGUCCAUCCAAAGUGCCCAGUCCUUGAGCUUUGCCUCUUCACAGUUGACCCCCAUCAGUCUAGUUUUGGCCAUAUUUAAUUUGGCCCUUGAAAUAAGCUCAUAGCAUUUAAGGAAAAGCUAAAUGUUAUAGACAUUGACUUCGGAGGCCUCUAGCAUGAGCAAAGUACCGUCGACAUAUUGAAGGUGGAAAAUGGGGUGUCCCCCUGGCCAAGGAAAAAGCCCAUUAACCAAGCCUCUCCUUGAGACAUCCUCUAGCAUUUUGCUUAAAGAUUCAACAACUAGGGUAAAAAGGAAAGGGGGAAGCUGAUCUUCUUGUCUUAGCCCUCUCGAUGAUUUGAAGUAACUGCAAGACUUGCCAUUGACAAGGAUGGGGAUAUGGGUAGAGGCUAGGCAACCCUUAAUCCAGCUUCUCCAUUUCGCUCCAAAUCCAAUCAACCUCAUUAAAUUGUCCAGAUAAUCCCAAUCCAAUCUAUUGUAGGCUUUCUCAAAAUUCAAAUUUAGGAAAACCCCUUUGCCCCGAAUGAAUCACUUCUUGUGCGAUAAGCAGCCCAUCCAUGAUCUGUAUGUCUUUGAUGAAAGCCAUAUGGGGACCCUUAACAACACAAUGAAGGACCUUCCUUAACCUAUUGGCCAAAAUUUUGGCUAGGAUCUUAUAGAUAGCAGAGAGCAAGCUAAUUGGAUGAAUGUCAUGAAGAGAUUCGAUAGAAGCAUUUUUGGGGAUGAGAGCUACAAAUGUGGAGUUGAUCGAGUUACUAACAAAACCAUCAACAAAGAAUUGUGAUAUCCAAUUGAGAAAAUCAGUUUUAACGAGAUCCCAAAAAUCUUGGAAGAAGGCAAGGAGAAACCCAUUGAGUCUCGGGGCUUUGUCUCUGGGGAGUCUAAAGACUAACAAUUUAACUUCUUCUUCAGAGCAAGCUGACUCCAGUUCCUCAGCAUGACCCUGGGGAAGGGUAUCAAAGGGGACAUCUUAAAAGGAGCAAGGGAGACGAAACUCCCCCGAGAAAGCUAUUUUGAAAUGAUUAACUAUUGCUGCCUCCAUAGCUGAAGAGUCAUCUGGGUUUACUCUCGCAAUUUGAAAGCCACUGAGGGAGUUUUGUCUCCUUCUGGAAUUUGCCAAAGCAUGAAAGUAUUUGUAUUAUUGUUACUUCGACCCAUUUAGAUCUAGACCAUUGGAAACAAUAUACCUCUUCCUUUCUAAGCAAAUCAUCCAAGAUAGAUUUCAAUGAAGCUCUGGCAAGAAUUUGGUUGGCAUCAAAGCCCCCUCUGUUUUGUUCAAGCGCAUUUAGGAUCUCAAUUCCAACAGAGGUUGCAGAAAUAGAUUCUACAAGAAAUCCAAAAGUGCUUUUGCUCCACUAACGUAGCCUGGUUUUGAGAAGUUUUAGUUUGCACAUGAGAACAAGGCCGGACUAGCCAGAAAGGUUAUUGUUAGUACCCUGAUUGAAUCUCCGAGUGUACUAUCAUGUGGAGUGGGUUAUUACAAUAAGAUUAGAUGGCCUCAUGAAAUCCUCUCUAGCCCCCCUCUAAACUCUUCUAUGGUUAAACUCAAUAAUUUUAUCUCGUCGAUGGGUCUCUUAGACCUGCACUCGUUUUACAUGGAGCAACAAUUCCACAGUUAGACCGCAAAUUUUUAAGUGGGUCGAGUUAUCUUGUCUCAGGACUAGGAAGAGAAAUUCCCCAAAACCUCUAUCUUGGCAGUACCCUACACAGCUUCUGACCAUGUCCCUCUGCUCUUGGAUUCAGAGGGCAAACAGUUUGGGCCUUCUCUUUUUUGCUUUGAACUCAAGUGGCUUAAAGAGCCUAGCCUUCGACAAGUAGUGUCAUUAGUUUGGUAGAGAGCAUAUUAAAAAUACUAGAUUUAUCAGCCACCACAUUUGGGCCAUAUACAUUAGACAAUAUCCAAGAGAAAGAGGCGGAAAGAGGCUAAAAUAUUCAAAGACCAAGGAUUACGAUCCAAAAAAGAAAAACCCAUAAUAACUGGGUCCCGGACAGUUAAAAGACCUUCAGAGAGGCCAACAGCAGGGUAAAAAUUAUCGGCCCACAGCCUCAAAAAGAGCACACCAAGGAGAGGUCUAUGACCUGAAGCUUAGUUUAUUGCAAGCGAACAAAAAGAAGCCGGUGUCAGCUCACCAUCCUAGCCAACGCCCUUCACUUGUGAACAUCUCCCAUACCUCACACAUUCCAUGAAAGGAUCUUUAUUUGGAACGGAAGUCUUUACCGCCCCUAGUGACCUCAGGGGGCAGUAGCAAGUGGACUGAAAAACAAGCCAGUUGUCAAUUCCUCUGCCUCCCUUUACAGCCUAGAGGGGACUCUCCUUGAUCGUGGGUUUGGUGCAGGCUCCUCAAUGAUGUGUACAACGACCUCUUCAAUUAUAAUGACAUCUCCAGAGAAGUACACAUACAUGACAUCCAGCAUCUUGGCCACCUUGUUCCUAACCUCAGCUCUUUUAAAUUGUACAGGAGAGCAAUUUUUAGAGCGCAGAGAGAGUUCCUCUUUGGAGGAAUCCGAGGAUUCUGUCAUGAGAAUGGGGGGGCUUGAGGAAUGGUUGCCAUGAGUAAUCCUUUGGCAACAUGAUAUUUGUUAGCCAGCAUGGAGGGGGUUCUGAGAGAGAGGUGGCCCCAAGAACUGCCCUUCUCUCACUCAGAGAAGGUCAAUUUUACAGUUCCAUCUAGGAGAGGCACAAAGGGUUUGGAGACAGGAACAACAAGGUCCUAAGCAUGGAGGAAGUUAGCUCUUGGGGCAGCCAUAAUGGAGAGUUGGGCUUUUCUGGCUAAGAGGCUUUUGAGGAUAAGGGAAACGGAGGUUGCAAAGAUAAUAAGCUAAAAAGGUAGGAAGAGGUUGUGGGAGGGAAGACUAUUUAUAGGCGACAAAGGGGUAGGUUUAGAUAUCAAACGAUCAACAGGGAGCGAGACAACCAAAGUGAGGGGCACAAAUCUAGAAGUUAUAUCCGCCGCCUCAAUAGGCACAUCAGAGUAGAGAUCCUGACAAUCCGCUGUCGGAUGUGCCACCCGUAAGGUCUCGGGACAACAGGGUGAUGAUUCUCUAGAGGGGGCGGGAUCACGAAGGGACGUGACCAGUGUGGAAACCGAGGAGUCCUCCAUGCAGCAAGUCGGUUCACCGAAGGCCUUGAGGACCGACGGUUCACCUCUCUAGAAAGAGGAAUUCUUGAACCGCAAGCUCAUAGUCAGGACUAGACAACGGUAAAAACGUAUUCGAAUUUGAAUUAAAAAAAAGUGUUGGAGUCGUUAGAGCUCCCGCCUCUUGAAUCCUCAGAACCAGAGCCAAUGAACUUCUUGCACCAAAAUUGCUUGGAAACUUUCUUGGGAUGGUCACCAGAGUGAAACUUUCUCUUGCUGAAAACCAAGGUCCAUUGCUAGUUUGGAAGGGGGGAGCUUUGAGCAGGGAGAUUAGGAAGGAAGCUUCUAACAAGAAGAGAGGCUUACCCUUCGUUCUUCCUAGAAGACUCAAAGGCAGCUGAACAAGCCAGAGGAACAGGUAGGGGCCCUCUUGGAAAACAAAUAGAGCAAAGAGCUCGCCACACAUUCUGAGCAAAAAAUUAUUAGGGAUAGAGCAGCCUAGGGUCCGUUGAAUCUUGAUACGAAGCACCCUUAAAGAAGGCCUAGCUGAAGAGAACCAGUCCACCUCAACUAGAGUACCACAGUAAGAAGCCAGCAAGGUGAAAACUUAUUUGGUCUAGACAAGGAUAGGGAUCCCCUCAAUACAGAGACAAACAUAAGCUGGUGGGAUGAAGGAGACGUUAAAACAAGAUGUCCAUUUUUCAAUGGACAUUAAAGUCCCUUUGAGCCUCCAACAUAUCUGGGAGAAGACUCUAUUCACAUCCUCUAUCUUUUCAAAGAACAAGAUGGCUCUGCUACCUGGUAUAUCUCUACACGAGAGGCUGCAACCCCACGAUUUCAAAGCCCAAUCCUAUAGCAUACUAAGGCCUUUAACAAGUGGAGAGAAAGAGCACACUAGAGCCUUAUCCAACAUUUUUAGACACCUAGGCAUCAAUGUACACCACUUUGAAACUGUUCAAGUAUGGGAGAUCCUUAAAAGGGACCACCGAUUUGGGCUUCGGUACCAUAGGGCAGCCAAAGCACACACUUCUCUAGUCCCUCUUCGAGGGGUUAGUCGUGUCAGUGCUACAAUCAAAGGCCAAGGGAGCCUUACCUUUGUUACAACUUAUAGCCUUAUUUUCUCUAUUGCUAGACCAAGAGCUCAAAGAACGAGAGCUAGAAGCUGAAAAGCUCCCCAAGGUUACCUGCAUCAUUGCUAGAACGAGAGCCCCAUAAGCGAGAACCUGGAGCGCGAAACCUCCCCAUCACCAUGCGAAAANNNNNNNNNNNNNNNNNNNNCUGAGGUGUCGCGCUAAAAGCAGACUUUUAUCGUACGAAAACCACGUCCGCUAAAGGACGUUGCCAGGUGCAAGCCGCAGGAGGCAAAAGCAGGCAAAAGAAAAAAGUAAAGGCAAAGGAAAAUCUUUUGAAAAUAGUGAUGGUCCUCAAGGACCAUCAUAUUCAAACAGAACAUCACCUAUUUAAAAGCAUAUUUUUCUUCCUUUUUUUUUUUUUUUUUUUUUUUGAAAUUUUUAGGAUUGUUACAGAAACUGAAAGCCUUGAAGGGGUAACUCCAUCAAAAUAUUCGAUAGGGGCAAACUCCUCUCAUGAAGAGGAUACAAUAGGGACAACUAAUGAGAUUGAACCCUUGUUUGUUGAUUCCCAACAAAUCAUAAGACCGUUUAAUACAACGGGGGCAACUAAUGAGAUUGAAUCCUUCUUUGUUGACUCCCAACAUGUUGUAAGGCCAACUAGUAGCAACUCAGCCACUCCUCUUGUGCGAGAGUCUCACCUAAGCUCGAGCUCUAAGAAGGAGUCUACUACGGAGUUAACCCCCGACAAACAAUUCGAAAUUUGCAAUGAAAAAGACUACCCAAAAGAAGUUGGGGGAUCACUCACCCCGUGCAAAUAACUAAAUGAGUCAUUCAUGUAUCACCCUUCAAAAGGCAUUAACGCCAAAUGUGUAACAUGAAGUACUCCAUUAACGGGAAAACCCUGAUGAGCCUAUUCGUCCAUACAGAAGGCUAAGGGAUUUGAAAACUGUGAGUGAUAUUUAGUCCCAAAAUCAAGGUUAAAGUGGAGCAGUUUAAAGGAAAAGUUCAACGGAAAUUUAACAACCAUUGUCAAAGAGAUUUUGGAUGCCAAUCUGGGUCAAGGGAAAUCAGAGGAAGACCGAUAUUAGAACCUCCCUACCACUUGGAGGAGGAAAAGAUGUUCGAUUUCUUACCUGAUCUUAAGGUAAAAUGCUAAAAAAAAAAAGAGGGUCACCUUUGAAUCUUCUUCCUCCUCCUCUUCCUUUGUCACUGUUUUCUUCUUAAAAAAAAAAAAAAUUCCGUUGGGCUGAAAAUUCGAAAGAAACCCUAUGCAUUGGAAUAAAGGCAACCGGGUUGAACACCCCACAAGGGACCCCGGAGUGAAAAAAAAAAAAUAAUCAGCUAGGUUGAAAAUCCGAAAGGAACCCCAAGCGUUGGAAAAAAGACCACCGAGCUGAACACUCGAAAGGGACCCCGGGACGAUGAAAAAGAAGAAGUUCUCUCCUUCCUUCUACUUACCAAAGUAUUUUCUCUCUAAACAUCUUAUUUUCCUCCCCUGAGUCAAAGUGGUGUUAAAAGAAAAAUCAAUAAGUAUUAGCGUGGCGGAACGUUGUUAAGGACCUAGAUUGUCUGAAACUUCAAAAGGUGAGUGGUGGAGGAACAAAAUUGGAAAUCCAAAGAGAUUCUGAACACCCAAUGACAAUAUCCUGUAUUUUCGAAACUUUGAUUCGCUCGAAACUCCAAAUAACUCUCCUUCAAUUGCAAUACAAGAGCUGAGGUUGGAAGAUAAAUAAAUACUUGAUGAUUCCUCGUCCCGAAGAUCCAAGCAAAGACCCGAUACACUCACAUAAGGUCAACCAAAGGGGUCACAAGUGGUUAAACUAUAAGAUCUACAUUACAAGAAAACCACCCCCCAACUGGGGCAACAAGAAAAAAAUAAAAAUAAAAAAUAAAAAAAAAAUAAUAAUAAUAAUAAUAAUAAUAACUCCACGAUCGUAUGAGUAUAACUGCUGACUACACCGUCCAUCGCUGCAUGACGUUAAACUGCUUAGAGGGCUCUAUGGUUGCAGGAGUUUAAACUGCUAACCAACUUUGUUUUUCGAAAUAUCUUCCCCUUUUCAAAAUUUUCACUAUAUGUAAUGUGUUUUCAAAAACUUUAAUUUCUUUAUUAAAAUUGUAACAUGUCCCUGCUCCGGGUUCUAUUUUAAAUCUCCCCCUAUCUUCAAAAUUUCUAAAAUGUCUUUUAAAACGAAGGAGCUUGGAUACCCGUACAUGAUGAAUACCGUGUUUGCCGUGUUGCUGCCUCGUCUCUCACUUUGGAUUCAGCCAAACAAGUCUCUUCCUAUAGAAGGCCUUAGGAAACCCUAAGGAGAUCAAAGAAGAUGCUAGGGUUAAAGAUUUUCGAACUGCAAAACCCCUGAAGUUAAGUGGCAUGAUAAAAAAAUCUAACUCGAGUUUCAAGCUUGUGUAACUCAAUGACAUGUCACGUCGAAAACACUAGGAGGAAAAAUUCCCUAAGUGGGUGAGCUCGAUGAGAGCAAUGAUUGGAGGGAUAGUUGGUGGGCCCUCUGACCACGUGACCUCAAGAAUAAAUCUUUGACAUUCACCUGCCCCUCGAAGGGCAUGGAACGCCAGAGUGUCUACUUCUUUGGCACUCACCUGCCACUCAAAGGACAAGGAGUGCCAAAGAGGGGCAACUGUAGACACCCCAUUUUAAAUCUGGCAAAUUCCGUGGUUUCCUGAACCAUUAGGAUCACACUUAACCUAGUAAACCCAUUUUUUUGGAUAAGUACGUGUUGGUUAUGUGGGUAUAUCCUCCCCAGGGGAUUUUCACCCCUAUAAACCCUCUUUUCGUGGUCAUUUGGAGAAGGGAGAGAAAAGGAUUAGAGUGAAAUGGAAAAUAUGAUUUGGAAGAGAGAGAGAGACCAAACCCUAGGAGAGAGCAGAUAGAGAUAAAAAAAAUUUGAGAGACCAAAACCCUAGGGAGGAGAAUAGAUAGAGAUCAGAUAGAAAAAACCAAAUAGAGUUACACGAGAGAAGAUAAAACCCUAGAAACUUCUUAAGAAACCCGAGCCUCCUGAGAGAAAACCUAAGUCUGAGAAAACCUAAACUUUUGGGCACAACCACCCUUCUUCAACCAGAGACUUUCUGGUGAACAUUUGAUCCAGAGAGACAAAAGAUGACCGGUUCUAAUACGGGCGAGCCCUAGAAGGCUCGGGAGUCUCGGGUUGGCAGCCAUCUAAGGAGACCUUGGAUUGGACAGUGGCAAAUUUCUGAGAAGAACGUUUGUAUAGCUCCGGGAAAGCAUCUUUGAGGGGAUAUUGAUGGUGUCAUUUGUUAUGCCAUAAUUUAAUAGUGGAGCCACUCCCAACCACCGUUUUGGAAAAGCCAGAAAAAUGUUUCUCACUAAAAGGAUGCCCUUCCAUACCCACGAAGCACUUGCUCUAGCAGGAGGGCAACGAGCAAUGUAACCUUGCAGGUCUCUACCAUACUUGUCAAGAAUGAUGUAUUCCCAAAGAAGCCCUUGCUGUCUUGACAAGCACCACCACCAUUUAGUGAGCAAGGCGUCGUUGAUUGCUUCUAGUCGUCUGAUGCCCAACCUACCUUCUUUUUUUUAUAGGCAGACAUAAGACCAUUUAUGGAGAUGAAUUUUUUUUUGAUGUUAACUCUCGCUCCAAAGGAAGUUCCACUUCUAGGAUUGAAGCUUCUUAAUGACCCAAGGAGGAGCUUGAAACAGUGAUAAGUAGUAAAUUGGUAGAUUUGAAAGGGUUGCUUUGAUUAGGGUGAUCCUAUCGGCCAAAGAGAGAUAUCUUGAGAUAUGUUGAUUUCCACUCAUGAAAUUUGUGCUGGAAUCUACUGAUCAAGGGGUCCCACUAAGCUCUCGGCAUGGAGGAUAAGGAAAGAGAGAUACCAAGAUACUUGCUAGGGAAUUAGUCAAUCUGGCAGUCCAUCCAAAGUGCCCAGUCCUUGAGCUUUACCUCUUCACAGUUGACCCCCAUCAGUCUAGUUUUGGCCAUAUUUAAUUUGGCCCUUGAAAUAAGCUCAUAGCAUUUAAGGAAAAGCUAAAUGUUAUAGACAUUGACUUCGGAGGCCUGUAGCAUGAGCAAAGUACCGUCGACAUAUUGAAGGUGGAAAAUGGGGUGUCCCCCUGGCCAAGGAAAAAGCCCAUUAACCAAGCCUCUCCUUGAGACAUCCUCUAGCAUUUUGCUUAAAGAUUCAACAACUAGGGUAAAAAGGAAAGGGGGAAGCUGAUCUUCUUGUCUUAGACCUCUCGAUGAUUUGAAGUAACUGCAAGACUUGCCAUUGACAAGGAUGGGGAUAUAGGUAGAGGCUAGGCAACCCUUAAUCCAGCUUCUCCAUUUCGCUCCAAAUCCAAUCAACCUCAUUAAAUUGUCCAGAUAAUCCCAAUCCAAUCUAUUGUAGGCUUUCUCAAAAUUCAAAUUUAGGAAAACCCCUUUGCCCCGAAUGAAUCACUUCUUGUGCGAUAAGCAGCCCAUCCAUGAUCUGUAUGUCUUUGAUGAAAGCCAUAUGGGGACCCUUAACAACACAAUGAAGGACCUUCCUUAACCUAUUGGCCAAAAAUUUGGCUAGGAUCUUAUAGAUAGCAGAGAGCAAGCUAAUUGGAUGGAUGUCAUGAAGAGAUUCGAUAGAAACAUUUUUGGGGAUGAGAGCUACAAAUGUGGAGUUGAUCGAGUUACUAACAAAACCAUCAACAAAGAAUUGUGAUAUCCAAUUGAGAAAAUCAGUUUUAACGAGAUCCCAAAAAUCUUGGAAGAAGGCAAGGAGAAACCCAUUGAGUCUCGGGGCUUUGUCUCUGGGGAGUCUAAAGACUAACAAUUUAACUUCUUCUUCGGAGCAAGCUGACUCCAGUUCCUCAGCAUGACCCUGGGGAAGGGUAUCAAAGGGGACAUCUUCAAAGGAGCAAGGGAGACGAAACUCCCCCGAGAAAGCUAUUUUGAAAUGAUUAACUAUUGCUGCCUCCAUAGCUGAAGAGUCAUCUGGGGUUACUCUCGCAAUUUGAAAGCCACUGAGGGAGUUUUGUCUCCUUCUGGAAUUUGCCAAAGCAUGAAAGUAUUUGUAUUAUUGUUACUUUGACCCAUUUAGAUCUAGACCAUUGGAAACAAUAUACCUUUUCCUUUCUAAGCAAAUCAUCCAAGAUAGAUUUCAAUGAAGCUCUGGCAAGAAUUUGGUUGGCAUCAAGGCCCCCUCUGUUUUGUUCAAGCGCAUUUAGGAUCUCAAUUCGAACAGAGGUUGCAGAAAUAGAUUCUACAAGAAAUCCAAAAGUGCUUUUGCUCCACUGACGUAGCCUGGUUUUGAGAAGUUUUAGUUUGCACAUGAGAACAUGGCCGGACUAGCCAGAAAGGUUAUUGUUAGUACCCUGAUUGAAUCUCCGGGUGUACUCUCAUGUGGAGUGGGUUAUUACAAUAAGAUUAGAUGGCCUCAUGAAAUCCUCUCUAGCCCCCUCUAAACUCUUCUAUGGUUAAACUCAAUAAUUUUAUCUCGUCGAUGGGUCUCUUAGACCUGCACUCGUUUUACAUGGAGCAACAAUUCCACAGUUAGACCGCAAAUUUCUAAUUGGGUCGAGUUAUCUUGUCUCAGGACUGGGAAGAGAAAUUCCCCAAAACCUCUAUCUUGGUAGUACCCCACACAGCUUCUGACCAUGUCCCUCUGCUCUUGGAUUCAGAGGGCAAACAGUUUGGGCCUUCUCUUUUUUGCUUUGAACUCAAGUGGCUUAAAGAGCCUAGCCUUCGACAAGUAGUGUCAUUAGUUUGGUAGAGAGCAUAUUAAAAAUACUAGAUUUAUCAGCCACCACAUUUGGGCCAUAUACAUUAGACAAUAUCCAAGAGAAAGAGGCGGAAAGAGGCUAAAAUAUUCAAAGACCAAGGAUUACGAUCCAAAAAAGAGAAACCCAUAAUAACAGGGUCCCGGACAGUUAAAAGACCUUCAGAGAGGUCAACAGCAGGGUAAAAAUUACCGGCCCACAGCCUCAAAAAGAGCACACCAAGGAGAGGUCUAUGACCUGAAGCUUAGUUUAUUGCAAGCGAACAAAAAGAAGCCGGUGUCAGCUCACCAUCCUAGCCAACGCCCUUCACUUGUGAACAUCUCCCAUACCUCACACAUUCCAUGAAAGGAUCUUUAUUUGGAACGGAAGUCCUUACCGCCCCUAGUGACCUCAGGGGGCAGUAGCAAGUGGACUGAAAAACAAGCCAGUUGUCAAUUCCUCCGCCUCCCUUUGCAGCCUAGAGGGGACUCUCCUUGAUCGUGGGUUUGGUGCAGGCUCCUCAACGAUGUGUACAAAUGGCUCUUCAAUUAUAAUGACAUCUCCAGAGAAGUACACAUACAUGACAUCCAGCAUCUUGGCCACCUUGUUCCUAACCUCAGCUCUUUUAAAUUGUACAGGAGAGCAAUUUUUAGAGUGCGGAGAGAGUUCCUCUUUGGAGGAGUCCGAGGAUUCUGUCAUGAGAAUGGGGGGGCUUGAGGAAUGGUUGCCAUGAGUAAUCCUUUGGCAACAUGAUAUUUGUUAGCCAGCAUGGAGGGGGUUCUGAGAGAGAGGUGGCCCCAAGAACUGCCCUUCUCUCACUCAGAGAAGGUCAAUUUUAUAGUUCCAUCUAGGAGAGGCACAAAGGGUUUGGAGACAGGAACAACAAGGUCCUAAGCAUGGAUGAAGUUAGCUCUUGGGGCAGCCAUAAUGGAGAGUUGGGCUUUUCUGGCUAAGAGGCUUUUGAGGAUAAGGGAAACGGAGGUUGCAAAGACAAUAUGCUAAACAGGUAGGAAGAGGUUGUGGGAUGGAAGACUAUUUAUAGGCGACAAAGGGGUAGGUUUAGAUAUCAAACGAUCAACAGGGAGCGAGAAAACCAAAGUGAGGGGCACAAAUCUAGAAGUUAUAUCCACCGCCUCAGUAGGCACAUCAGAGUAGCGAUCCUGACAAUCCGCUGUCGGAUUUGCCACCCAUAAGGUCUCGGUACAACAGGGUGAUGAUUCUCUAGAGGGGGCAGGAUCACGAAGGGACGUGACCAGUGUGGAAACCGAGGAGUCCUCCAUGCAGCAAGUCGGUUCACCGAAGGCCUUGAGGACCGACGGUUCACCUCUCUAGAAAGAGGAAUUCUUGAACCGCAAGCUCAUAGUCCGGACUAGACAACGGUAAAAAUGUAUUCGAAUUUGAAUUAAAAAAAAGUGUUGGAGUCGUUAGAGCUCCCGCCUCUUGAAUCCUCAGAACCAGAGCCAAUGAACUUCUUGCACCAAAAUUGCUUGGAAACUUUCUUGGGAUGGUCACCAGGGUGAAACUUUCUCUAUCUGGAAACCAAGGUCCAUUGCUGGUUUGGAAGGGGGGAGCUUUGAGCAGGGAGAUUAGGAAGGGAGCUUCUAACAAGAAGAGAGGCUUACCCUUUAGUCUUCCUAUAAGACUCAAAGGCAGCUGAACAAGCCAGAGGAACAGGCAGGGGCCCUCUUGGAAAACAAAUAGAGCAAAGAGCUCGCCACACAUUCUGAGCAAAAAAUUAUUAGGGAUAGAGCAGCCUAGGGUCCGUUGAACCUUGAUACGAAGCACCCUUAAAGAAGGCCUAGCUGAAGAGAACCAGUCCACCUCAACUAGAGUACCACAGUAAGAAGCCAGCAAGGUGAAAACUUAUUUGGUCUAGGCAAGGAUAGGGAUCCCCUCAAUACAGAGACAAACAUAAGCUGGUGGGAUGAAGGAGACGUUAAAACAAGAUGUCCAUUUUUCAAUGGACAUUAAAGUCCCUUUGAGCCUCCAACAUAUCUGGGAGAAGACUCUAUUCACAUCCUUUAUCUUUUCAAAGAACAAGAUGGCUCUGCUACCUGGUAUAUCUCUACACGAGAGGCUGCAACCCCACGAUUUCAAAGCCCAAUCCUAUAGCAUACUAAGGCCUUUAACAAGUGGAGAGAAAGAGCACACUAGAGCCUUAUCCAACAUUUUUAGACACCGAGGCAUCAAUGUACACCACUUUGAAACUGUCCAGGGAUGGGAGAUCCUCAAAAGGGACCACCGAUUUGGGCUCCGGUACCAUAGGGCAGCCAAAGCACACACUUCUCUAGUCCCUCUUCGAGGGGUUAGUCGAGUCAGUGCUACAAUCAAAGGCCAAGGGAGCCUUACCUUUGUUAGAACUUAUAGCCUUAUUUUCUCAAUUGCUAGACCAAGAGCUCAAAGAACGAGAGCUAGAAGCUCAAAAGCUCCCCAAGGUUACCUGCAUCAUUGCUAGAACGAGAGCCCCAUAAGCGAGAACCUGGAGCGCGAAACCUCCCCAUCACCAUGCGGAAAUGCACAUCUUAUUGUUUCACAAGGUGAAAACUACACCACAUGCGAAAGUGUGAGAGUUUUCCUUUUGUUAUAUUGAUACUUCUUCUCUCCAAAAAAUAAAAUCAAAUAGCCUUACUUUCUCUAUUGCUAGACCAAGAGCUCGAAGAACGAGAGCCAGAAGCUCAAAAGCUCCCCAAGGCUACAUGCAUCAUUGCUAGAAUGAGAGCCCCAUAAGCGACAACGUGGAGCGCGAAACCUCCCCAUCACCAUGCGGAAAUGCACAUCUUAUUGUUUUACAAGGUGAAAACUACACCACAUGCGAAAGUGUGAGAGUUUUCCUUUUGUUAUAUUGAUACUUCUUCUCUCCAAAAAAAAAAAUCAAAUUCUGGACCUCUAUUACUUUUAUUAUUACUAAAUUUUUAUCCAUAUAUUUUAUCUUCGUCCGACUAAUUUUUUUUAAAAACACACACGCACACAUACACACACACACACACACACACAUAUAUAUAUAUAUAUAACAGUAAGACUUGCCCUACUGUAACAGUACGAUUUUUUCUUCUUAUAGAAAAAAUCGAUAAUCUAGGGAUUUUGGAUAACAAUGAAUUUGAAUUAUUUUUCGUUUUUUAAUUGGGGAAUACUAGAGUGGAAAAAGAAAAAAAAAAAAAACAAAUCUCUAGACACCUACAACCAAGAAAGUUUGUCAACUAUUGAUUGAUUGCUUGAGAUAGUACAAAUUUCUUCAGACCAUUGUUUUCCUUGAGGCAUAAAUUUUAGACACCAUUUUCUUCCUCGAAGCAUGGAUUUUGUUUACUGUAUCUAUGAAAGAAACAAAAAAGAAGCAAAUAAGGAUUUUGCCCUACAACUGUAAGAUUUUUCUUUUUUUUAAAGAAGUUUUUUUCUAGCUAGGGCUUUUGCGGAUGAGGGAGAGAAAGGGAGGAAAAAUUGGAGAGAGCGAAAAAGGUGGAGCAAAACUUUCUUCACGUCAUAAAUUUUGGACACCAGUUUUUUGCUUGAGCAGCAGAUUUUUUUUUUUUGGGUCGUAAGCUGGGUUUUGAAACAGAAAUGAAGUAUCUCUAUGGAUUGAUUUAUUUGAGAUAGAGAGCCGUUUGAUCAUUCUAUAGAGUAUAAAUAAUUCUUAUUGAUUUUGAUAAGAGAUUGGGGUUGAUCUAUCCCACUUCCUUCCACUUUUUGUAUUGGGUUUCCAUACUGAGAGUUUAGUGGGAGGGGCCGGAGAGAAAGAUGGGAGGAAAAAUAGGGGAGAGAGAAACAAAAAAAAAUGGGGGAGAUGGAAAGAGAGCUUUAUGGAAGAGAGAGAGAAGGAGGGAGGAAAAAUGAGGAGAGAAACAAGGACUUGAGUAUCUCCCUAUUUUAAAAGCUUUAAUCCUAUUCGUCCAUUUAGUGGGGACGAUGGAUGGUUGGCGCUAUGCAGAACUGCUGUUCUUAUUGAUGGCCACCAUUUGAGAGCGUUUAUUAUAUAUAUAUAUAUAUAUAUAUAUAUGAAAAAAAGCUUCUGAAUGCACCUAGAGGCUAUAAUAUACAGUGAUUUCGCCACCGUCGAUCGUACCCAUCCAUUCACACGUAAUGAAACGAAAGGCUUGGAUUGGCUGAAAAACCCUGUACUCGAACGGGUGGGAUUUGCUCAAAUGCUUCAGACCCAAAAAAAAAUUUCCCUUUACCCCUCCUCCCGCUUCCUCUCCUCUACUCUGCGAACCUCCACUCUCUCUCGUUCGCCCUCUUCUCUCCUCUGAUCCGCCACGCUAGGGGCGGAAAACCCCUCCUCUUGCAACAGACGAUACUACCAGUGGCAUCAUAUAUAUCAGAGCUCUCUAUUGAAUCUUAAGCAGCACGAGCAGUUCAAGAUACAGAAGUUCUUGGAGCAUCCAAAAUUCCAAUUCCAGAAGCGGAUCCUCUACUAGCAUAUCAAGUAGUUGAGCGAGAUCGCCCGACCCAGUGGUUUCAGUUAGUCACAGACCCCUUACCUUCGCUAUACUCAGGUAAGUGCUCCGUCAUAUCACUACAUUCGUGAAUAUACUCCAACCUAAAUAAAGAAGAAAACCCAAUUUUUUUCCAAAACGAGAUUUAUAAAUAAAACCCUAUUGUUUACAAUGCUAUGCAUCAAAUUCGUGAAUUUUUUUACAGUGGGUAUUUUUCAAUGGAAAACUAUCUAUGAGAGCACAGUUCUGAUUUUUAGAGUAAAAACGUAGGGUUUUAUUUGCAAUUUUUUAGUUCCUUUCUCUUCUUUUAUUGCUCUUUUUUUUUCUUUUCUCUUUUUUUGAUGUAGUCCUAAAAUGAUUGUAGAGCAAAAAUUUGGAUAGCUCUUUUGUUUUUCUUUUGCGGGUCAAUUGCUCACUGCAUAUCCUGUCACCCUCUAUUCACAAAUACUCAAUACCCAAUUGCGCUUUCAGAUUCAGUAGCAAAAUAAUGGUGGGGAAUCCAAGGCUCAAUCCUAGAAGUGAGGAUAAAUUACUUGCUCUCUGCUUUUUUCUAUUAUUUAUUCUGUUUAUUCAUCAUUAUGCUAUUCAUUUUCUGAUGGGUGUUUGCGUUUUUCAGUGUUGAUAUUUCGGUAUUGUUUGCUAACUUGCACCACUUUCUCUCUCUGAGUUUCAUUGUUUCUUCUAUAUUUUCUUUAUCAUGACUUGCAGUUCUUUUCUUAUUGAUGUAUGUAUUCUUCCUAGUUGAUAUUUGGGUAUGGAAUUCUGUUGCUUUCAUUAGUCAUUACAUACUGGUGUUAUUUUCUUUAAUGGGGUGUUGAUUUCUCGAUGGUAUUUAUGAAAACUGUAAUUUUCAUUCGAGAAUGGAGGAAAACAAGAUCGUGUACAUAUUCUUUUUUGGGUGUUUCUAAUCUUUUGAGAGAGGGAGAGAGAGCGCUAGAGAGAUUUUUAUUUGGGUUUUGUGUUAAGAAAUGGGGGGGUGGCUUAUUGUUCAAUAUACAUUGGGUGUGAGGGAGGGGAUCAUGCUCGUGUUUUUUUAUUUGUGUGUCUGUGUUAGAGAAAUGGGUGGUGUGUUAUUGUUCAAUCUAUUUUUUUUCUGGCUUUCAUCAGUUUUAAUGGGAUUGUUUGUAAUGACAGUUGCUUUCAGUGCCGGGAGGUUUGAAGGAGAGAAUAAGGAAAUACUUGUGCAACACUUGCUUGUGGGCGAACAAAGCCUCGAACUCCUUCUAGAGCUUCAAAAGAGGAUAGCUGGAGGUUGGGAUUUUGAGCUUCUGGUAUGUAUGACAUAAGAAUUCGUAGUUUCUUUUUUUCCUUUUCACUAUGCUUUCCCUAUCCCCACGAAUUAGACAAUACUAUGUUGUUCCCCUUGCUUCUAUCGGCCAUAUUGACUUUGUUCAUCGGGUCCGUAGGAAUUCGUUUCGGUCAAGAGUUAUGGUUAUAUGGACUUCUUGAUGAGAGCUCCCUCUCUACAAAACAGAAUUUUCUUUUUUUUUUUUUUGGGGUAGUAAAACAGAAUUUGCUUAUUGUAGAUUAUCUAAAAAACUACUAUUCGUCUUAUGUAGCCAAUUUCAGUGACCUCAAGAAUUUAUUUAUUGCGGGUCUCUCAUAGUGAACUUUGCUUUAGUAAACAUAUUGCUGGUUAUUCAGUUAACAUAAUUAAAAACGACAAAAACAAAAACAAGCAAACAAACAAACAUAUUUCUGGUGAUCUCUUUCAUAUUUUGAAUAUAUUCUUACAGGAGAGUAUUUGAGUGAUUUUGCAGUUGAAUUCUCCGUUUGUCCAUCAAAAGAAGAGGGGGGAAUGCUUGGCCGUGUUCAAAAGGGACAAAUGGUAUGCUUUCUUCAGCUAUGUUUGAUCCACUUUUCAUUCACGCCUUGAUAGAAGUAUUGAUUUUGAAAAGAGUACAGGUUUCCAAUAUGAUUCACAUUUAAUAAAAUGUCUUUAGGAAUCCUUUCAUGCUGAUAGAUAAGAGAAGUAUGGCUGAGAAGUUUGUGAAAAAAUUCAUUCUUCAUUAUGUAUUUAUGUGAAGUUGUGCAUUAUGUAUUUUAUGUAUUAUCAUGAAUGAUCAUGAAACUUCAGUAAUUCACAAAAGUUGCGUCAUGCAAUCAUCUUGAUGAAAUUGGUCAGAGACAUAGUAUGUAACUAUGCAUAAGCUCAACACCCUUGAUAAGGUAGACGGGGUUUCUCCUGAAUUCAAGACCCAAUUUCAUGAAGAUGAUUUGUCUGCUAUAUCCAUUCAAGCUUAGACUUUGUUAAUUGAAGGACUGGACACAUGCAUCAUGCAUUUCGCUCUUUAUUUGCAUGCAUUAAUGCAUGUGCGCAUGUGCAGAUAGCGAUAGAUAACCAUGGAUACAAACAUUUUCUUAAACAAUUCCUCUGUAAAAUUUUGUAGGUACCAGAGUUUGAGGAGGCUGCAUUCAGUGCGCCCCUUAAUAAAGUAGUUAGAUGCAAAACAAAUUGGUUGGCACUUGUUGCAAGUGUUAUCUGAGAGGUCAGUGAGUAUUUUGAGGACCUCUUUGGUAAAUAAAUGAUUUGGUUUUGAGGACCUCUUGUGUUGGUGUAUUGAUGUUGUUCAUAUGUUGAAGAUAUGACGGACCAAUAAGAGCAGUUUCCUGGAGUAAAACCAAGGACUAAAAGGAGGAAAUCUUCAUGGGAUUUGCCAGCAUAUAAAAGACCUAUUUAUGAGACAUGUAAAGGACUCGACAAAUUUUUUGAAUUUUGGAGACAUGUAAAUACACUUUUUUGUAUUUGACUUUGGGGGUUAUACGCAUAUUCAAUAUUCAUGUAAUUUUACAGACAUGUAAAGGACCUCUUUAUAGAGGCAUAUAAAUGGCCUCUUUAUGAAGCAUGUAAAUAACCGAUUUGGUGAUUUUUUGGUAACAUAUGUGUGACAUUUCUUUCUUUUUUAUGUAUGUCAUUAAUAUGUGCAAUGUGGAUAUACUUGGAUGGUUAAAUGCAUUUAUAUCUCAUAGUUCUCACUUUAUUUUAUUUUUUUAUGUCGAGUGUUUGAUACAUUCUCAC